GUUGGUUAAGUCCCGCAACGAGCGCAACCCCUUAUCUUUAAUUGCCAUCAUUCAGUUUGGGCACUUUAGAGAGACUGCCGGUGUUAAGCGGAGGAAGGUGGGAUGACGUCAAGUCCUCAUGGCCUUUAUGUCUAGGGCUACACACGUGCUACAAUGGGUGGUACAAAGAGCAGCUAACUCGCGAGAGUAUGCAAAUCUCAAAAAGCCAUCCUCAGUUCGGAUUGGAGUCUGCAACUCGACUCCAUGAAGUUGGAAUCGCUAGUAAUCGCGGAUCAGCAUGCCGCGGUCGAAUACGUUCCCGGGCCUU
rnacentral:rRNA from 1 species